AUGGCUCAGGACGAACGCUGGCGGCGCGCCUAACACAUGCAAGUCGAACGGAGCUGCACUUCUGAAGUUUCGGAUGGACGAGGUACAAGCUUAGUGGCGAACGGGUGAGUAACACGUGAAGAACCUGCCCUUCAGUGGGGGACAACAGUUGGAAACGACUGCUAAUACCGCAUAAGACCACAGUACCGCAUGGUACAGUGAUCAAAGGAUUUAUUCGCUGAAGGAUGGCUUCGCGUCCGAUUAGGUAGUUGGUGAGGUAACGGCCCACCAAGCCUACGAUCGGUAGCCGGACUGAGAGGUUGAUCGGCCACAUUGGGACUGAGACACGGCCCAGACUCCUACGGGAGGCAGCAGUGGGGAAUAUUGCACAAUGGAGGAAACUCUGAUGCAAGCGACGCCGCGUGAGGGAAGAAGGUCUUCGGAUUGUAAACCUCUGUCUUCAGGGACGAUAAUGACGGUACCUGAGGAGGAAGCACCAGCUAACUACGUGCCAGCCGCUGC
rnacentral:rRNA from 1 species